rnacentral:rRNA from 1 species
AUUGAACGCUGGCGGCAUGCCUUACACAUGCAAGUCGAACGGCAGCACGGGGGGUAACCCCUGGUGGCGAGUGGCGAACGGGUGAGUAAUACAUCGGAACGUAUCCUGUAGCGGGGGAUAACCUCUCGAAAAGAGAGGCUAAUACCGCAUACGACCUACGGGUGAAAGAGGGGGAUCGCAAGACCUCUCACUAUUGGAGCGGGCCGAUGUCGGAUUAGCUAGUUGGUGGGGUAACGGCCCACCAAGGCUACGAUCCGUAGCUGGUCUGAGAGGACGACCAGCCACACUGGGACUGAGACACGGCCCAGACUCCUACGGGAGGCAGCAGUGGGGAAUUUUGGAC